rnacentral:rRNA from 1 species
CCUACGGGAGGCAGCAGUGAGGAAUAUUGGUCAAUGGCCGAGAGUCUGAACCAGCCAAGUCGCGUGAAGGAUGACUGCCCUACGGGUUGUAAACUUCUUUUAUCAAGGAAUAAAAUGAGGCUCGUGAGCCUUUUUGAGUGUACUUUAUGAAUAAGCAUCGGCUAACUCCGUGCCAGCAGCCGCGGUAAUACGGAGGAUGCGAGCGUUAUCCGGAUUUAUUGGGUUUAAAGGGAGCGUAGAUGGGUUGUUAAGUCAGUUGUGAAAGUCUGCGGCUCAACCGUAGAACUGCAGUUGAUACUGGCAGUCUUGAGUAGAGGAGAGGUAUGCGGAAUGCGUGGUGUAGCGGUGAAAUGCUUAGAUAUCACGAAGAACCCCGAUUGCGAAGGCAGCUUACUGGACGGUAACUGACGUUGAGGCUCGAAAGUGUGGGUAUCAAACAGGAUUAGAUACCCCAGUAGUC